rnacentral:rRNA from 1 species
CUACCCUAUGGAUCCGGACAACCUCGGGAAACUGAGGCUAAUCCGGAAUAGCGCUCUCAUCCUGGAGUGGAGAGAGCCUGAAACGCUCCGGCGCCAUAGGAUGUGGCUGCGGCCGAUUAGGUAGACGGUGGGGUAACGGCCCACCGUGCCAGUAAUCGGUACGGGUUGUGAGAGCAAGAGCCCGGAGACGGUAUCUGAGACAAGAUACCGGGCCCUACGGGGCGCAGCAGGCGCGAAACCUUUACACUGCACGCCAGUGCGAUAAGGGGACUCCAAGUGCGAGGGCAUAUAGUCCUCGCUUUUCACCACCGUAAGGUGGUGGUGGAAUAAGUGCUGGGCAAGACCGGUGCCAGCCGCCGCGGUAAUACCGGCAGCACAAGUGAUGACCGCUGUUAUUGGGCCUAAAGCGUCCGUAGCUGGCCAGGCAAGUCCAUC